CUGAAGGAACAGAAGAAGCUCCCGCAGCACAUGGUGAUCUGAUAAGCUUGGUGUAGGAGGGACUUCUUUCUAUGUGUCGCUUUCAUUGGUUGAAGAAAGAAGACUGCCUUGGCCUUUUGAUAGGGCAAAACUUAGAUAGGCAGCACAGAAUGCUGGGAGAAAGGAGGCAGAGUCAGAGAGCCACUCGCCAUGAAGCUGCCAGGGUGUGCUCUAGAGAGAUUGCCUGAUUCAACAAUAACAGCAGAAAAAAAGCAACACCAUUUUAAAAUGUGGCUUCCUGGGCUGUGCUGCCAGCUUGAACUCCGGCUUUAAAGCAUUUCAAUGGCUUUUAUGAGACUGGAUGUUUUGUGCCUGCUCAGGAUCGGCAAGAAAGUACUCUGAGACUAAGCCAAUGGCUCCCCGCCUGGGCUGACGGUGGAAUCAGACUUAGGAAAGUGGGAGAGCAUGGCGGAUUCCCACCACCAUACACAGAGAUGUUUCCAGGCUGCGCAGUGCUCUGCAUGGCAGAUUUGACUGUAAUUCAGAAAGAAAGA